rnacentral:rRNA from 1 species
CUCUCUGGGUGGCGAGUGGCGGACGGGUGAGGAAUACAUCGGAAUCUACCUUUUCGUGGGGGAUAACGUAGGGAAACUUACGCUAAUACCGCAUACGACCUACGGGUGAAAGUGGGGGACCGCAAGGCCUCACGCGAUUAGAUGAGCCGAUGUCCGAUUAGCUAGUUGGCGGGGUAAUGGCCCACCAAGGCGACGAUCGGUAGCUGGUCUGAGAGGAUGAUCAGCCACACUGGAACUGAGACACGGUCCAGACUCCUACGGGAGGCAGCAGUGGGGAAUAUUGGACAAUGGGCGCAAGCCUGAUCCAGCCAUACCGCGUGGGUGAAGAAGGCCUUCGGGUUGUAAA